UACGAGGGGGGCGAGCGUUGUUCGGCAUUAUUGGGCGUAAAGGGCGCGUAGGCGGUGCGGUAAGUCACCUGUGAAAUCUCCGGGCUCAACUCGGAGCCUGCAGGCGAAACUGCCGUGCUAGAGGGUGGGUGAGGUGCGUGGAAUUCCCGGGGUAGCGGUGAAAUGCGUAGAUAUCGGGAGGAACACCUGUGGCGAAAGCGGCGCACUGGCCCCCAUCUGACGCUGAGGCGCGAAAGCUAGGGGAGCAAACAGG
rnacentral:rRNA from 1 species